rnacentral:lncRNA from 1 species
CAAGCUGCGCAUAUCUUGGGAUCUUCACAGCACAGUGGCUGGGAAGGCAGGCGGACCCGUCUAUCAGCUUCUCCCUGAAGACUACCAAAGCAAACCAGAGGACCAGAGAACAGCAGCUGCUCUGGACAAAGAGGGGAGGACACCCACACCCACAUACCAAGUUCUGGUUGACUUCUACAGCAGAAGAAGCAGGAGACACAAGAAGUCUCCUCAGAAGAACAUUGACCAGCACGCCUGCAUCCUUUCUGUUCUGACACACUUGUUACCUGGAUGACUUCUUUCUCAUCACCCACGUGCCAAGAGUGCCAUGUCUCAUCUGGACCAGAGACUCUGAGGAUCACACCAACAGAGACACAAAUGACACUUAAAGAAAGCCACAUCAGCUUUUACAACUUACCCCCCAAUACCGAAUGUCAUCAACUCAAUUUAAAUCAUUGGAUGGUUCUGUUCUCAGGGCCAGAGAGUUUCACUAAACUUCGUCGAACCCUUCGGUAUAACUGUCAACUGUGCAGAGUGUGCUUGGUGUCUGGAUUCUCAGCCUUCAGUGUAAUCAUGUUUACAUCCCCAGGUGUCAGAAAAUUCCCCCUGA